GACUCUCCUGCCCCGCAGCGGCGUGGAAUCGUCGGGGGCGUGUGCCCGGUGCUGAGGACCUGCGGGCGCUGGGCAGCGGGGAUCCGCAGCGGGAGCGGGAAGCGCGGGGUCCUGGGUGGCCGCCGCGAGCUGGGAAGCUGUCUGGUCCCGCUUGGGUGAUUUGUGAUGGCUCAGGAAGAGGUUGUCUUGACCUUCAGACUGGAUUUCUUGGACCCCAGUCUCCUCAUCUCCCUCCAUUUUACAACCAUGGAUGCCAUACUUCCUAAAAAAUCUAUACAACCAACCACCACACAUCUCGUAUGCAUCUUGCAGACAGGGAAAUAAUGAGAAAGGAGUAAGUUAACCUGUGAGAAUACUGCUCAAUGAAUAAAGUGUUUAAAACACUCCCACAAGCCCGAGGAUGUGGGUUUGCAUCCCUAGGUGACAGGGCAGUGCCCAUCAGAAAUCCAUAGGCCAAUGGAUGGUGAAGACAGGAAAAUCCCUAGAAGCUUCUGGGCCAGCUAGUCUGCGGUAAGCAGGGGAAAACAAGAGACCAUGUCUCAAACAAAAUGGAAGGACCCUAGUCUCCUCUUCUGCCUCUAUUUUAUAACCAUAGAUCCUACACUUCCUAAAAAUCUAGACUGUCCUCCUAUAGGCUAUAGUAUACAUCUUCAAUACUACACACACACACACACACAUACACACACACAUACUACACCACAAACACACACAAACAUUACAUACCACACAAACACACACAAACAUUACAUACCACACACCACACACCACAUACAUACACAUAUGCACACACACAUGUGCAGCAUACACACCUACACACACCACAUGCAGGCACACACAUGAAUACAGACAUCACAUACACACAUGGCAUAUCUCAUACACACACCCAUGCAAAUGCAUACAUGAAUACACAUAUCACAUACCACAUACAUACACGUGCACACACACAUACAGGCACACAGAUGAAUACACACACCAUACACCACAUAUGUACAUACACACACAUGCACACAGCAUGCCUGUAGAGACAAUGAGUUAAGAGGAUUGUUGGAACUGGGCUCCAGAGAACAAAGCCUUGGGCAUCAGGCCUGUCUUCCAGCUUCCUGGUCCAGAGAGGAACUAAAGCUUUUCCGUGGCUUCCUUAAAUUUAUAAAACGGAUGCACAGAGUGGAAUUACCCAUGGGGGGGGGACCCCACAUCUGGAUUUCAUAGCUUCAGUUUUUAAACAUACCUUUCUGAGAAAGUAAAAUGGCAUUUGUGUAAUUGGAGCAUGAACUGAGGGCCUCAACUUGGGUUCUGCCCUCUGUGUUACAGGCAGAGUCUGAUUUAACACAGGUCUGUGUGCAUCAUUCUCUCCCCAGCUGAUGGUCUCCCUCCCUCUUUUGUUGUCCACCCUUGUUACCACAGACGCGCACGCAUAACUGUAACUGGGAUUUCCAAAUCCCAAACGAAUUCCUGAAAUGCAUCUCCACCAGGCCAGACCCUACCUGCAUCUUCCGUAGAUUCCCGUCACCCUCAGUCUCAGGUAUGAAAGCUGGAGAGGAGAGCGUGCAGCAACCCUGUCUGGAACCUCAAAACAUAUGCUCUCUCUGCCUUCCCUUCUCCUCAGCAGCAACAAAGGAAACGCACACGUCCUCUUGCAGGUACUCUGAACCACAUACUUGAGAGGCCACCGCAGGCCCCCAGAAUCGUCCUUUGUCGCUCUCAAUCCCAUCAAGUAAACACAUUGAUUUGUGGCCAAAGAGUUCAAUUGCUUAGUUUCAAAGGCUACUGCGAUCGAGAACCAGGAUGGUAAUAGGAAGACUGGGGAACUCGAGGGAACUGAAGGGAAGAAUCUCUGCGCGAGCAGAGGCGGUGGGCAGUGUCAAGGACGGCAGAGCGCACCCACAGCCAUGGCUCUCGGGUUCCACGGUAACCCAUCUGUAAACAUCUGGCCUUGCGGUGCUUUAUGAAGCAUUUUACUUCAUGUGUUGCUAGGCUGGCUCUGUAUAGUUUGAUUUGGAAAUGAGUAUAUUAUUUUUACAGAGUUACGAAAGUGAAUGUAUAAAAUAGCCUCCGAGUAAGGGCCAUUUAAGAUUUAAAUAGAGCCUGGAUUUUAAAAAGCUAACAGCUUUCAAACAGAUGGUGUGAAAGUGGUGUUGACUUUUACAGUCCCAAGUGCAGAAAACCAGUGGGAAUUACUCAUCCAUACUACUGAAAAAGAGGAAAAAAAAAAAUCAAUAUCAGGGCCUGCCUUGGGGUUCUGGGAGAUUUGAAAAUGAAAGGUAUUGUCAGGCUCGCGGGGUGGGGGUGAAUACAAUUACAUGGUAAUGUAAUGUUUAAUUAAAAACUAAAUAAUAAAUAAUGAAAUGAUCCAGAAUAUACUUGAUGAAUCACCAAAAGGUUGAUAGUAUGGUUUUGGCAGAGGGGCCCUGUUGUCAGAAAGUGUCCUGUAAUGGAGGUCUAUGCCUCUUUCAUAAAGUAGUAGUUGCUGUCUUCUUUGCUCACCCUAAGCCACAAUGCCGUGGAAGAUCAAAGCCUGCCACGGCAGUGCUCUUGGACUGCUGACUUGCUCUGCUGGAUUCAUUGAGUUCAUGACGCACCCCGGUCAUUCAUUCUCUGUUCUCCUGUUAAGAUUGAUUUUUAUAACGCAGAACGGAUUUUCAAGUUUGAAUUUACAUUUUUUAAAAUUCAUUGGCAUUUGGUAUAAUUCCUACCCAGACACUGAUUCUACACGCUCUUAUUUACAGCCACCCAAAUUGUAUGUACAAAAAGGUAAGGAAAAAUGGUUCCUUUCGCCUUGGACGUCAACCUGGGCUCAAUCUGGCCGAAGCCAUGAAUACCAGGAAUCCAAAGGCUCCCUGACUGUAGAAAGGGCACAGCUGGGGCACGUACAAGAUAACUCUGCAAAGGGUAUUUGGGGUGAUUCAUAUCCUUUCCUUUGAACAGUUUUGUUGAUGCAGUCUGUUGAAACGCUCAGGGUUUCAUAUAAAUGUUUUGCCUCAGGAGUUUGCCUAAGGACAAUGAGCCGUUUCAAAUCUCCCCGCCCUCCAGUUUCAAGUAAGAGGACCAUUUAUGAACAGGUAAAGAGGUGGCAGGGGAGAAAGUAGAACCCAGACCUCUAGCUGGUGGCCUGGAUUUUACAGGGCUCAGCAUUGAAAGGCGCACAGAGUACUAGCGACCAAUCACAUAAAGAAUCCUUUCCAAAACUUCCUUCCAGAAGGACCUCUACCUAUUUCCUGAAACAUGAGCAUGGGGAAAUCCCUACUUGGAAGUGAGCUCACUCUCUCCCGGAAGUGUGCAGUGUCUGAAAAGUAUUCACUUCUGCGGAGCCAGGAGUCACCUCCAGGCGGAAGCCGAUUUUAUCUUGCCGUGAUUCUGCCUGCACUCUCAUACUCUUGUGUGGGUGGAGAUUAGGAUGUCGAAGACGUCCGAGGAUGCUAGUGGCUCCUCUGCCACCGUUCUUCUCCCAUACGCAAGGACUGGUUUCAGGAAGAUGCAGAAACAGCCAUUUGUCACACUUCGGUCCCAGGAGAGGAGUUAAUGUUUGAGGAAUAAAUCAGUCGGUGUGAUUUCCUGCGUGUAAUUCUUUCUGUUCAUCUUUGAAGUCUUCAAAACCAUAAAGCUGAGAUUAGGAACCGGUUGAAGAGAGAGGAAGGAAGAGAAAGAAGUCCUGAGUUGUCUGGCCUGCUUGUUUUCCUGAAGUAGGAAACCACUUUGGAGAUCACCCAGAUAAAUCUGAUGAAGAUCACAAGCCAGGAAUAGAGUGUGAAAGCAUCUAUAACAUGUCACCAUAUAGUAGCCUCCAUUUGGCUCCAGACGGUACAAUGAUAUUUCCCCCUAAAGGACUGAGUGGAUGCACUCUUAAUUGGAAGCAAGCUCCUUAAGAAUCUCACGUAGGGGCUGGACAGAUGGCUCGAUGGUUAAGAGAACUGACUGCUCUUCCA